rnacentral:tRNA from 1 species
GGCCCAUUAACUCAGCGGUAAGAGUGCUCCCCUGUCUAGGGAGAAGCCGUCGGUUCGAAUCCGACAUGGGUCGCCA